rnacentral:rRNA from 1 species
UACGUAGGGUGCAAGCGUUGUCCGGAAUUAUUGGGCGUAAAGAGCUCGUAGGCGGCCUGUCGCGUCGGAUGUGAAAGCCCGGGGCUUAACCCCGGGUCUGCAUUCGAUACGGGCAGGCUAGAGUGUGGUAGGGGAGAUCGGAAUUCCUGGUGUAGCGGUGAAAUGCGCAGAUAUCAGGAAGAACACCCGUGGCUAAGGCGGCUCUCUAGUACGGUACUGACGCUGAGACGCGAAAGCGUGGGGAGCGAACAGG